rnacentral:rRNA from 2 species
UACGUAGGUGGCAAGCGUUGUCCGGAUUUAUUGGGUUUAAAGGGUGCGUAGGCGGUCUUCUAAGUCAGUUGUGAAAUACUUCAGCUUAACUGGAGAGGUGCAAUUGAUACUGGAAGACUUGAGUACUGAUGAGGUAGGCGGAAUGGACGGUGUAGCGGUGAAAUGCUUAGAUAUCGUCCAGAACACCGAUAGCGAAGGCAGCUUACUAAGGAGUAACUGACGCUGAGGCACGAAAGUGUGGGGAUCAAACAGG